UGGAACCCUAAACCUCCCCCCCAACCCCCCUCUCGCCCAUUGUUCAUGAAACCAUCUCCAGAUUUCUGAUCUUGGCGUUUACAGUUUCUCGCGUCGCUUGCUGCGGAUCGGCAUUGCGGAGCAGCGAGCGAGCGAAUUUGAAUUCGGUAGCAGUUUCUCGACUUUGCAAUGUUGGACAUACUCUUGUUCCGGGAGGAGCGGGGCAAUGACCCUGAACGCAUUCGGGAGUCGCAGCGACGUCGGUUCGCGAGCGUGGAGCUGGUGGAUGAGGUCAUCAAGCUGGACAAGGAGUGGCGCCAGCGUCAGUAUGAGGUAGAUAACAUCCGCAAGGAGGUGAACAAGGUGCAGGAUGGGAUAAAGAAGAAGAAAAUGGCGAAAGAGGAUACUGCGGAGUUGCUUGUGGAGAAGAGCAAAUUGGAGGAGGCCAAAAUUGCCAAGGAGAAGGAGACUGCGGAGUGCAAGGUGGCCAUGGAGGCUAGCCUGCGGUUGGUUGGUAACUUGGUUCAUGAUUCCGUGCCUAUAGACAACAACGAGGAUAACAAUUUGGUUGUACGGACGUGGGGGACUCCGAGAGACCAAUCAGGCCUUGUGAACCAUGUAGAUCUUGUGAAUAAAUUGGGCAUUGUUGAUCUUGAAGCAGGUACAGAUGUAGCUGGGGGCCGGGGCUACUUCCUAAAACAAUACGGAGUGAUGUUGAAUCAAGCCCUCAUCAAUUUCGGCUUAGCGUUUUUGCUCAAGCGAGGGUACACGCUGUUGCAGACUCCUUUCUUCAUGCGACAGGAAGUGAUGGCAGAGUGCGCUCAAUUGGCUCAGUUUGACGAGGAGCUCUAUAAGGUGACUGGGGAAGGCGAUGACAAGUACUUAAUCGCAACUGCCGAACAACCUUUAUGUUCAUUUCAUCGUGGCAGUUGGAUGGAUCCCAAGGCAUUGCCCAUUAAGUAUGCUGGUUAUUCAACUUGCUUUAGAAAGGAGGCUGGUUCUCACGGAAGAGAUACGCUUGGAAUAUUCAGAGUACAUCAGUUUGAGAAGGUGGAGCAGUUCUGUAUUACUAGCCCAAAUGAUAAUGACUCUUGGGAAGUGCAUGAAGAAAUGUUGAAAAACUCAGAAGAAUUCUAUCAACAGUUGGGCCUUCCCUAUCGGGUGGUGUCAAUUGUUUCGGGAGCACUUAAUGAUAGUGCUGCCAAGAAGUACGACUUGGAAGCGUGGUUUCCGGCCUCCAAGACAUACCGUGAGCUUGUAUCAUGCUCUAAUUGCACAGAUUACCAAUCAAGGAAUCUUGAAAUUCGUUAUGGUCAAAAGAAGAUGAACGACCAAGUCAAGAACUAUUGUCAUUUGCUUAACUCUACUCUUACCGCAACUGAGAGAACCCUUUGCUGUAUUUUGGAAAAUUACCAAACUCCAGACGGUGUGAGGGUUCCCGAAGUAUUGCAACCAUUUAUGCUCAACACUGAGUUCCUUCCAUUUACCGAACAGUCGAAGGACAAGAAGGAUGCUAAGAAGGACGCUAAAGCAAAGAAUCCUCCUGCUAAGGAGUUGCACGUCUUCCUAUAAUUAGAAUCAUUUCUUGAGUACGAAACUGGGGUUGAUUGUCUACCCUGUUGUCCGAACCCAGCUGCGUCUUGAAUGCGUACGAAGGGUUCAGCCGUCGGAGCGCAAGAAAAAAAAGUCAGUUCAGAUAAUGGUGUCGGUACACCUGACAUUCACCAACUGAAACUUUAGAUGAGUACUGCACAGGUCGAGUGACACCAGUUGCGCACUUUUAGCGGAUGUAGUUGAUGUAGCCAAAUCCUGCGGUUUCUAUUUACAGUUACAUGGUAACUGCCUUUUUAAGCAUUCAUUCCAAUUAUGUAUGAAUUUCUACCACUAGUUUUGUCGUUGGCGUUUCACAUGA